UACGGAGGAUGCGAGCGUUAUCCGGAUUCAUUGGGUUUAAAGGGUGCGUAGGCGGCCCGGUAAGUCAGCGGUGAAAGUUUGCGGCUCAACCGUAAAAUUGCCGUUGAUACUGUCGGGCUUGAGUUCAGAUGAAGUGGGCGGAAUGAGUAGUGUAGCGGUGAAAUGCUUAGAUAUUACUCAGAACACCGAUUGCGAAGGCAGCCCACUAAACUGCGACUGACGCUGAUGCACGAAAGCGUGGGGAUCGAACAGGAUUAGAUACC
rnacentral:rRNA from 1 species